rnacentral:misc_RNA from 1 species
GUAGGUGAACCUGCGGAAGGAUCAUUAACGAGAUCUGGGAGGUGCGAGAGCAUCGACCGAGAGGGAGGGGGGCGUGAAAGCCACCCUCUCCCCCACACAUACACCCGAGAUAUCGGAGGCCGGGGCAAUGUACAUUGCAUACAUCGCCCCGGCGCAACAUUCAUGCUUGCUUUUACAUCUAAAAUGACACAUUACACGAUAACUUUUAACAAUGGAUCUCUUGGCUCUUGCAUCGAUGAAGAACGCAGCA